rnacentral:hammerhead_ribozyme from 1 species
ACCCAGCUGACAAGUCCCAAAUAGGACGAUUCGCGCGUCGUGGAU